CCUACGGGGGGCAGCAGUGAGGAAUAUUGGUCAAUGGACGAGAGUCUGAACCAGCCAAGUAGCGUGAAGGAUGACUGCCCUAUGGGUUGUAAACUUCUUUUAUAUGGGAAUAAAAUGUUCCACGUGUGGGAUUUUGUAUGUACCAUAUGAAUAAGGAUCGGCUAACUCCGUGCCAGCAGCCGCGGUAAUACGGAGGAUCCGAGCGUUUUCUGGAUUUAUUGUGUUUAAAGGGUGCGUAGGCGGACUGUUACGUCAGCGGUAAAAGCCCGGGGCUCAACCCCGGCGAGCCGUUGAAACUGGCUGUC
rnacentral:rRNA from 1 species